rnacentral:rRNA from 1 species
GACAGAGGGGGCAAGCGUUGCUCGGAAUCACUGGGCGUAAAGGGCGCGUAGGCGGGAUGGCAAGUAAGUCGUGAAAUCUCUCGGCUCAACCGAGAAACGUCGGCUGAUACUGCCGUUCUUGAGGGAUGCAGAGGAGACUGGAAUUCCCGGUGUAGCGGUGAAAUGUGUAGAGAUCGGGAGGAACACCGGUGGCGAAGGCGGGUCUCUGGGCAUCUCCUGACGCUGAGGCGCGAAAGCGUGGGGAGCAAACGGG